GCUCCGGUGGCCUAGUGGUUAGAGCGUACGUCUCAGAUGCGGGAGAUCGCGGGUUCGAACCCCGGCUGAGUCA